rnacentral:lncRNA from 1 species
GUGAUGAUCAAGGAACGGGUUGAUGAAGUCUCAUGUAAGUUGAAAACAAAGAAAUUUGGAUGAAAAGGCCCUCUCAGAAGUGGACAAAAAAAGUUGUCUUCACUUAUAUUUCCAGGGGUGCUAAACAGCACUAUCCUGCUUUUCCUGAUAUAGAGUGCUCAAAGUUACUACAUCAGAUCGUACUGAGUUGGCUAGCACGGUAAUGGUGCAUGCCCUUGGACACGGCUAGCUUAACUUCUGGGACCCAGACAGCACCCUUCCAACUUUGGAGCUCAACGAUGCUUGUGAUUUAUUAUGUGGUUAUUAGGGGAAGGUAUGGGUUGUUAUUGUGGAGCAGAUGGAGCAGCUGAUGCCUGUUAUUACCUUGUCUGCAAGAUUAACAUGCAGUGCAAAAUCAGGCAAUCCACUUCAUCUUUAAUUUCUUCCUUGUGGGUGUCAGCACAUGAAUCAGUAACUGGCCGCACCAGCCUUUCUCAUAUUCUGAAGUUGACUACACACUUAAGUUUCAAUUUCUCUAGGCUUUCUACGUGAUCCACGGCUUUCAGACUCUCACGCCUGCCUGCAUCAAAAUCUCUUAGAUUCCAGCUCCUAGCGGGUGAAGAAGAAUCUAUUAGGUCAUAGGUGGUACGCUACCAUUAAUUGCCAAUUAAUCACCUUGUUGAGUUACUUUUAUGUGAUUUCCCAGAGAUCAAGGAGUCUGGCCGAUCGAUGCUCUUAAUUAAUUUGCAGGUCUAAAUUUUGAUAUGCUUGCUGCCUACGUGGGCAUCAUAUGAAGUGUGUUAAAUUUAAUGCCGAGUAGACCAGUCGUGGAAUUAACCAUUGGGAGAGUGUCAGAAAUUCAGAAUAGUCACACUAAUAGAAGAGAGGAUGCAGUAAAGAGAGCAAAAACAAUUGGUUAACAGCCUGCAAAAACACCAUGAACCAUGCAUUUUCAGUGUCUGGUCAUUUUAAUAUAUGUUUUUCAAAAGAAAAAUUCUAGUUUCUCUUAUCUUUUUGGGUUAUUCCAACCGAAAUUGCUUCAGUGCAG